rnacentral:lncRNA from 1 species
CAGGCCUUGGAGAGUCAACAGGUCAACCUCCAGGAGGACUCCCACACCUACCCCCUCCUCUUCACCUCCAGAUUUGCAGGUUCAGAAGAUAUGGCUCUUGGCUCUCCUGGAAGUCAUUAGAAGGCUGGUCCAACCAGAGACUGUCAACUUGUUUGCUGAGUAACCUCAGA